rnacentral:rRNA from 2 species
GUAGCGGUGAAAUGCGUAGAUAUAUGGAAGAACACCCAGUGGCGAAGGCGGCUGUCUGGUCUGUAACUGACGCUGAGGCUCGAAAGUAUGGGUAGCAAACAGGAUUAGAUACCCUGGUAGUCCAUACCGUAAACGAUGAAUGCUAAGUGUUGGAGGGUUUCCGCCCUUCAGUGCUGCAGCUAACGCAUUAAGCAUUCCGCCUGGGGAGUACGGCCGCAAGGCUGAAACUCAAAGGAAUUGACGGGGGCCCGCACAAGCGGUGGAGCAUGUGGUUUAAUUCGAAGCUACGCGAAGAACCUUACCAGGUCUUGACAUACUAUGCAAAUUUAAGAGAUUAGACGUUCCCUUCGGGGACAAGGAUACAGGUGGUGCAUGGUUGUCGUCAGCUCGUGUCGUGAGAUGUUGGGUUAAGUCCCGCAACGAGCGCAACCCUUAUUAUCAGUUGCCAGCAUUAAGUUGGGCACUCUGGUGAGACUGCCGGUGACAAACCGGAGGAAGGUGGGGAUGACGUCAAAUCAUCAUGCCCCUUAUGACCUGGGCUACACACGUGCUACAAUGGAUGGUACAACGAGUUGCGAACUCGCGAGAGUAAGCUAAUCUCUUAAAGCCAUUCUCAGUUCGGAUUGUAGGCUGCAACUCGCCUACAUGAAGUCGGAAUCGCUAGUAAUCGCGGAUCAGCAUGCCGCGGUGAAUACGUUCCCGGGCCUUGUACACACCGCCCGUCACACCAUGAGAGUUUGUAACACCCAAAGUCGGUGGGGUAACC